rnacentral:tRNA from 1 species
GAGGGUACAGCUCAGUGGUAGAGCGCUUGCUUGGCAUGUGCGAGGUCCUCGGUUCAAUCCCCAGUACCUCUA